UACGUAGGGUGCAAGCGUUGUCCGGAAUUAUUGGGCGUAAAGAGCUCGUAGGCGGUCUGUCGCGUCUGCUGUGAAAACUCGGGGCUUAACCCCGGGCCUGCAGUGGGUACGGGCAGACUAGAGUGCGGUAGGGGAGACUGGAAUUCCUGGUGUAGCGGUGAAAUGCGCAGAUAUCAGGAGGAACACCGGUGGCGAAGGCGGGACUCUGGACAGUUCCUGACGCUGAGGCACGAAGGCCAGGGGAGCAAACGGG
rnacentral:rRNA from 1 species